GCAUAUCAAUAAGCGGAGGAAAAAGAAACCAACAGGGAUUGCCUCAGUAACGGCGAGUGAAGCGGCAAUAGCUCAAAUUUGAAAUCUGGCUCUUUCAGGGUCCGAGUUGUAAUUUGCAGAGGGCGCUUUGGUGUCGGCAGCGGCCUAAGUUCCUUGGAACAGGUCAUCAUAGAGGGUGAGAAUCCCGUAUGUGGCUGACUGUCUUCACCGUGUAAAGCCCCUUCGACGAGUCGAGUUGUUUGGGAAUGCAGCUCUAAAUGGGAGGUAAAUUUCUUCUAAAGCUAAAUAUUGGCCAGAGACCGAUAGCGCACAAGUAGAGUGAUCGAAAGAUGAAAAGCACUUUGGAAAGAGAGUCAAAAAGCACGUGAAAUUGUUGAAAGGGAAGCGCUUGCAGCCAGACGUGCCCGCAGUUGCUCAUCCGGGGUUCUCCCCGGUGCACUCUUCUGUGGGCAGGCCAGCAUCAGUCCGGGCGGUUGGAGAAAGACCUGUGUCAUGUAGCUGUUUUCGGGCAGUGUUAUAGGGCAGGUGGAAUGCAACCAGCCUGGACUGAGGUCCGCGCAUCUGCUAGGAUGCUGGCGUAAUGGCUGUAAGCGGCCCGUCUUGAAACACGGACCAAGGAGUCUAACAUCUAUGCGAGUGUUUGGGUGUCAAGCCCGAGCGCGUAAUGAAAGUGAACGGAGGUGGGAACCUUAGGGUGCACCAUCGACCGAUCCUGAUGUCUUCGGAUGGAUUUGAGUAAGAGCAUAGCUGUUGGGACCCGAAAGAUGGUGAACUAUGCCUGAAUAGGGUGAAGCCAGAGGAAACUCUGGUGGAGGCUCGCAGCGGUUCUGACGUGCAAAUCGAUCGUCAAAUUUGGGCAUAGGGGCGAAAGACUAAUCGAACUAUCUAGUAGCUGGGUUCCUGCCGA
rnacentral:rRNA from 1 species